rnacentral:tRNA from 1 species
GCGACCGUAGCUCAGCUGGAUAGAGCGUCGGCCUCCGGAGCCGAAGGCCACAGGUUCGAAUCCUGUCGGGCGCGCCA